CGUGGACAGUAACAAACUGUGCCGGCUGCGAAACCCAAAUGGGUUGGCUAUUUACAGCCACAAAAAAGAACUUGAAGCCGAAACGUUUUUGGGGAAUUCGGAGUUCCCAAGUUUCUGAUGACCUGCACUAGUAAGUCUAAUGACCUGCACUAGUAAGUCUAAUGUAUCUCAAACAUGUAAUUGCUUGCCUGAAUUUACUGUUACCAUGUAACGAUUUUGAUUUGUAUAGCUACAUGUUCCUAUCUGCAAAUUAAUAACGUUCCUCUGAAUCUACAUAAACGAUGUACC
rnacentral:lncRNA from 1 species